rnacentral:rRNA from 1 species
UACAGGGGGUGCAAACGUUGCUCGGAAUCAUUGGGCGUAAAGCGCACGUAGGCGGUUCGUUAUGUCGGAUGUGAAAGCCCUUGGCUUAACCGAGGAAGUGCAUCCGAAACUGGCGAGCUAGAGUACUAAAGAGGAUCGCGGAAUUCCCGGUGUAGAGGUGAAAUUCGUAGAUAUCGGGAGGAACACCGGUGGCGAAGGCGGCGAUCUGGGUAGAUACUGACGCUGAGGUGCGAAAAGCGUGGGGGAGCAAACAGG